rnacentral:tRNA from 1 species
GAGUCGUUAGCUCAGUCGGUAGAGCAACGCCCUUUUAAGGCGUGGGUCCUGGGUUCGAGUCCCAGACGACUCACCA